rnacentral:rRNA from 1 species
UACGUAGGGGGCAAGCGUUGUCCGGAAUUAUUGGGCGUAAAGAGCGUGUAGGCGGUCCGGUAAGUCAGCUGUGAAAGUCAAGGGCUCAACCCUUGAAUGCCGGUUGAUACUGUCGGGCUAGAGUCCGGAAGAGGCGAGUGGAAUUCCCGGUGUAGCGGUGAAAUGCGCAGAUAUCAGGAAGAACACCAAUGGCGAAGGCAGCUCUCUGGGACGGUACUGACGCUGAGACGCGAAAGCGUGGGGAGCGAACAGG